GAUUGGCGAUACACUGUCAGUCACCUAGCGAAAGCGUUAAGUGAUCCACCUGGGGAGUACGAUCGCAAGAUUGAAACUCAAAGGAAUUGACGGGGGCCCGCACAAGCGGUGGAGCAUGUGGUUUAAUUCGAUGAUACGCGAGGAACCUUACCAGGGCUUGAACGUGCAUUGACAGUCGCGGAAACGUGAUCUUCUUCGGACAAUGUGCGAGGUGCUGCAUGGCUGUCGUCAGCUCGUGCCGUGAGGUGUCGGGUUAAGUCCCAUAACGAGCGCAACCCCUACUGUUAGUUGCCAGCGGAUAAUGCCGGGGACUCUAACGGAACUGCCCGCGUAAGCGGUGAGGAAGGUGGGGACGACGUCAAGUCAUCACGGCCCUUACGUCCUGGGCUACACACGUGCUACAAUGGCGAGGAACAAUGGGAAGCUACCAGGUGACUGGAUGCUGAUCUCUAAAACUCGUCUCAGUUCGGAUCGGAGUCUGCAACCCGACUUCGUGAAGCUGGAUUCGCUAGUAAUCGCGCAUCAGCCAUGGCGCGGUGAAUACGUUCCCGGGCCUUGUACACACCGCCCGUCAAGCCAUGGAAGCCGGGGGUACCUGAAGUAUGUAACCGCAAGGAGCGUACUAGGGUAAAACUGGUGACUGGGGCU
rnacentral:rRNA from 1 species